rnacentral:rRNA from 1 species
AUUGAACGCUGGCGGCAUGCCUUACACAUGCAAGUCGAACGGCAGCACGGGAGCAAUCCUGGUGGCGAGUGGUGAACGGGUGAGUAAUAUAUCGGAACGUGCCCAGUCGUGGGGGAUAACGUAGCGAAAGCUACGCUAAUACCGCAUACGAUCUAUGGAUGAAAGCGGGGGAUCGCAAGACCUCGCGCGAUUGGAGCGGCCGAUAUCAGAUUAGGUAGUUGGUGAGGUAAAGGCUCACCAAGCCGACGAUCUGUAGCUGGUCUGAGAGGACGACCAGCCACACUGGGACUGAGACACGGCCCAGACUCCUACGGGAGGCAGCAGUGGGGAAUUUUGGACAAUGGGCGCAAGCCUGAUCCAGCAAUGCCGCGUGCAGGAUGAAGGCCUUCGGGUUGUAAACUGCUUUUGUACGGAACGAAACGGUGAGCUCUAAUACAGUUUGCUAAUGACGGUACCGUAAGAAUAAGCACCGGCUAACUACGUG